rnacentral:lncRNA from 1 species
CCCAUACUCCCCAGGUUGAUUCUCUUUUAUUGCAACCCCAUUGAUUCAUUAUUUAGUUAGCUUAUAUUAAUUAUAUGUUUAUUUAUAUUCCAUUUUCUAGUAGUUCAUUAGAUACACAUGGUCGAAAAAGGGCUACUUUCUAUUUGUGUUUAGCGAAAAGCAGCUUUACUUUUUCUUGAUUAUAGGCUGUUUGUGUCGGUGUUCAUUCCCAUGUUUCUUGUUUAUUCUUCUCUAAGUGUUCGUUAAGUAACAUCCCUAUGAGUUAGUAUUCUGAGUCAAGUUCAUUGCUACCUAUGCUAUUGAUACAAUCAAAUAUAGUAUGGGGUUCCAUAUGUCAAUUGAGGUUAAUCUGAGUCACCUCCAAACACAGCUCUUAUAGUAGUACCACUUAUUCUUAUAUCCUAUAGGGGCGUUAAUUCCUCUAGUGGUUUUGUUGGCUAGCAAGUAAGGCUUGUGAACCGAUGCGGAUAGUCAGAUUUCAUCCCCGGUGCGUUGAGUCAGACUUUUCUUACUGAGCUCACUGCCUCCCUCUGGAUUCCAACUCUACUGGGUCAUUCCCGUACAGCUUCUUUUGGUUCGUGUACUCCUUUACAUUGGAUCCUUACUUUCUAUCGGUAUCCCAAAGACAUAACUUGUCAUUACUCUUAAUAACCUAUCUUAUAGCUCUGGUCUUAUAGCUUCCGAUCUUCUAGUUCGAGGCUAAUUGAUGGUUUCAUUCUGAUUAGUAUAAACAGUGGUUCCAUUCGUAUUAGUUCUACUUUUUCCUUCAGUUUAUUGGUCGUGUCAGACUCCACCCAGUAAGCAAGACUCUAAGAAGUCACUCUUGAUCUUAAUGUACUCCCCAGCUACCCAUAUUUUGGACUUAUUAGUUUGAUUCCCGAGUUCCAUUAUUGAGUUUCGAGCCGAAUUCCUAUGUUCUGCUUUAAGUAUUGCUUUCCCUAUUCCGAUUCUUCCCCAGAGGGUUAAGCCUUAUACUUCUUAGCUCAAUUCUUAUCGACAGUAGCAGAAUUCCGGAGGCCCAAACACCACCACACUAGUUGUUGGCUGACUUUCCCCGCCAUAUCUCUGGUUUUAGUCGGAUACUUAGGAGUUGAUUGAGUUCGGACUUCCUACCCCGGCAAACCAUUCCUAUAAUAAUGAGUGCAAUUGCUAGUUCCCAGUGCGAGUAUUUUCCAGUAUAGCUUCAUUCCUAUCAGCAACGGUUCUAUUCUCUUAUAUAAGGAGAAAGUAUGGAGUUCCUUGUCCGUAUGCCCUUGUUACAUCCUUGUAUGGGGUAGUUUUCUUACUUGUUCCCGGGUUUAUUCCUAUAAGUAGUAGCUCCGUUCUUAAUAGUCGUAGGUGGGGUUUAAAGGCAAGGAAAACAUACUAAUAGAUAGGAAGGUAAGGCUCACUGGCAGGAGACAUAGGCUCAUAGGUCGCGGGUGUAAGCUUAAUAGACAGCUCAAACGCUUUUAGAGUAUAAGUCUUUACUAAUUGAUGAUUUCCUUAUUGUAAGAUAAAGUAUUAGGAGCACUGGUUAUAGGCUCAUAAGCUGUAAGACAAAGAUCCAGAUCGGUAGUCCAAGAAUACAAGUAGGAAGUUUCGGACCGAAAGCAUGGAGUAAAAGAGUUAGAACCGGGCAAGUAAGCUUUGGGUUCAGGGAAAGCAGACUUCGAACAGGUAGCAGGGGGCUUUAUAGGUAGUGAAGCAAGGGUGCCGGGAAGGAGUAUUAGAAUCAAAGUCACAAUCCACAGAAUAGUAGCUCUCGGCGCCUAUAGUAAGAUAAAGUCAAGUAAGGUUCCCAGUUAGUCGUGUCAGUUUUCAAGCAAUAGGAGUAUACGAGUGGACAAGUGAACUACUAGAUUCAAGCUAAGGGUAGGCUAACAGCCCAGAGGGGAACGUUAGACUCAUUGGCAUCAGUUAAAGAAUGCAAGUAAGUUGCGGAAGAGCGCUUGGAAGCGGGGUAAGGCAGUCCGUUUUGUAGUGAAGAGCGACAGGCUACUCGUUUGAAAUACAUAAUUCCAGAAGUAUAAGUAGCGGACUAAUUAAGUAAUAGGCAUCAGCCUUGUUUGCCAUUUUGGUUAUCAAUGAUCGAAUUCCCAGUUGCUUUUUCAAGAAUUAUAGAUAUAUUAGCUCGAUCGCUUUGUUUUGAGGUUAAGGUACAGUGGAGCAGGGUCCCAGGUCAGUAGCUUAAGAGUGAAAUGAAUACAACGGGUUUAGUUAGAGCAGUGUGAGUUUGGGAGGUAGGCUCAUAGGCCCGGUAUACAAGGGUUCAAGGUGUUGCAUCUUUUUCAUUAGUUUUGAAAGAAUAUGCGGCAGACUAAGAGGAAAAGCGGGACAGCUUUUGGACCAGUAGCUAAAGAAUAGAAGAAGGAUAUUUAAGGCUUAGCAUCAGUAGUAGUGCAACCUAUUAUAUUAUAGGUCGUAUAUAAGCUUUCAACGGGCAAGCGAGGCUUAAGCGAGUAAGGACAGACUCACUAGAAUCCAGUAGUCAAAGAGUGAGGUCGGAUCCACUAGAGAAAGAAUGAAAGGCACUAGGGCACCGGACUAACGCGCAACAUGAGUAGUAGCUUGUUGAAUGCAAAUACGGCGGGGGAUAGUAAGCAUAAAAGCCAGUAGUAAAGACAGGUGCAUAGUCGAAGUCAAGCUUUAAGGCAAUGGAUGUAAGAACCAAAGCAAAGGGAUAUAGUCUAAGCUGUAGUAGAGCCGGUUUUUAUGCCAGUGUUUGAAGAGUCAAAGUCCUUAAGGUCAGGCUUCAAAGCACUAGUGGAGUUCUUUUGUUUACUAGCUCGGUUCUCACUUGACCAAACCCAUCUUCCUGCUCGGCUUGACCCAACCUAUCUCUCUGCUCUCAUUAUUGCCCCUAAGAAUAGUAUGCUUACGAUUAGUAUGCUUACCAGGUGCGCCCUAGCCUUAGAGCUCGGCAUCAAAGAGUGAAAGAAGCAAGUAGAAGACUUUAAGGGGGGCGAGCAUAAGCAAGACUGCCCGGCGUACCCUAAUUCUUCUAUCUCUUUCUUCUGAUACUGGCGCCGCUGAUACUAAUACAGAUUACUACUCCUUCUGCUCUUUAUUCUUAUUAGAUUAUCUUAAAGUAGAUUAUAUUGUAUACAAUUGAAUUCUUAUUUGUCAUAGAAAAACGAUAUCUGGAAUUGAAACACAUCCACCCAAAGGAGAAACAAACAAACCCACCCUAUUGAUUGAAACCAAACCAAAGUAGGGCAAAAGAAAACCCUAUAGCCACCUAACCUAGAGCUACCAUUCACUCAGUCAACGGGCGAGGCGACAUCACACCCGCACAAGAGCUAUCGAGUGAAAUAGAAAUAGCAGUUGUUUGCUACUUAAAGAGAAAACGAGAGCUGGUUUUGAACCCGAAAGAGCUCUGCCUUUAACUCACUACCGCACCAGAACACAAAACUUAGUAAUAAACAGACAAUAAAUACCGAUCUUCUCACUUGGGCAAAAGCCUAUAACUGCUGCUAACUAUACUCGAACUACCGAGCCAGAUCCUUACUACGCUUACUUCUAUUCUUUAUCCACUUGACCAGUAAUCCUCACUUUCCAAACCAAUACCCUUGUCUCUUAGCCCACUGCUACUUACUUUCAGGCUUAGCAUUCUAUCUUGCAUUCUAUCUUGGUCAUUUCAUCAUUAUGGAAUUGAGUAUUCAUUUCACUCAUAUUUAUGAGCAUGUGAGGUACGUCGUACGGAACUAGACUCGAACCCGUGAAUCCAACAAACUGAUAGGAAAUCCACUAUUGCUAUUAGGAUGACCCUCCCCUACUUGCUUGAAUACUGAUGUCAACAAUACUUUGACUUAUCACUAGGGAAACUGACUAUAAGGGCUAACUCUCACUCUUUACUUAUGAACAGGAACUGUCAACUUUGAACUCACACCCGAAACUGACAAUAAGGGCACCGAACUACCCUUCCUCUCUAGCCCGAACUCCCCUUUAAGAACCGACCCGCCAAACUUGUAUAGUACCAAACUCACCUCAAUACUAGACUUAUUAGCUAAUAACAAAGAUGCUAAAGAAGAGAAGCUACAUCCACUACCUUCACCCUGACAGGCUAAGCGGAUGAGCGUACCAAGGGACUUACUGACCAAAGCUGCUAACUAAUGCGACUCCAGACAAUCUACAACUCUGGAUUCCUCGCAACAAACAAGCUACCAACAAGCAACAUUGAGUAUAGAAUCAAUAUGGUAUAUAUAAUAUGAAAACACUUCUAUACUAACUAUAGGUGUCGCGCUCACGUAUGAGUUAUUAGAGUUCGUUGCUUCUUUGUUGCGCUUACUGAGUUAUUAGGAAACUGAAACCACCUUACUGCAGUAGCUGUAGUAGUAGCAGUAGGAAUAGUGGCCAAAUAUACUUCAUUCAUUCGUCUUAGUAGUCUUAGUGAUGUAGUAUACCUUCGUUACCUUCCCUUAGUCCCAUGCAGUAGUCGGAUUACCUUCGUUACCUUCCCUUAGUCCCAACACAGCUGACAUCAAGCAUUCCUCUCUUAAGUAAUCCCUUGAGGCGAGAUAAGCCUAAGACCUGAUAAUGCGGCAUCCACCCACCCGCUUUAAGGACCGAGCUACCCACAUUGAAGGUGCUGAAAGUCUAACUAUUAACAAUAAAUGAUUUCGGCAUCUACCGUAGCGCAGACCGAGCCACAUUGAAUGAAGGUGCUGAAAGUCUAACUAUAACAAUAAACGAUUGAAAGAUCUAGCUUGUAAUUAGCCAACCCUUCUCUCUAUCACUCCUUUGGAGGAAAGACCGGUAUAAUCAUUCUCUAACGCGAGAAAGCAACUACUUGAACAAAGAAAGAAGGCAGGCAGCGAGGUUAAGGAAUGCUAUUAAGACUCGAUUUAGCUACACCUUAUAGAGCUCCAUUAAGCCAAGCAAGAAGUCAAUUGUGGUUAUAGUAGCUAGCUCAAUAGCGGAUAGAGAUGCAGCCUCAGAAGCCGAAGCAAGAUCCGGUGAGGAAGCUGUGCGCAAGCAAGUACUAAUAUUCUACGGGUAUUAUUAAGGGUCUUCAUGAAAGUAUAGUUCCAGAAUCCGCUGGUAAAGAAUCCUUAUAUGUUUCCUCGGCGCGUAAGGGAGCUCGUUAAGUCUUUCUUUAAGUUGAAGCAUAGAUCCAAUUCAGAACUGGAAGUAGGGGUUGGGCAAAGGUCAAACAAUACCCAUCCAUCUAAUCUACCUCAGGCAACAAAGACAUAUGAAACAAGGGGUGAAAAGACAGAUUCCACUCUUCCUCUAACUGGAACUGGGGAUUCCACUCUAAAGUCACUACUAACCAAGCAACUACGAAGGCCAAGUCGACAACAACACUAGUUUCUUUCGCAACGUCUUUCGAAAGGGCUCAAACCUUUUCUUAUAGUUUCUAAGCACCAAUACGGGCUCAAACCCUUUCUUAUAGUUUCUAAGCACCAAUACUAGACUUGACUCGAAUUCCAUACUCUCCGCUUAGUAUUGCAGCCCGAACUCCCGUAAGUAAAGAAUUAGAUUGAGCUGAUGCUGAUGCAUGACGUCUUGUUUACCUUGUCUCAUUUCUAUUUGACUCUCUUGCUCUUGCUGGGCAUCUCAUCUUUUCUCUCUUAGAACUCGUAAGUCAAACAGGAAUCUUUCUUGCACCCGACGAAAACAGGACAUUCUCUGGUCGACUUAGCGCUUGCAGCAGAUUUCCUUUCUACAGCGACCUAAACUCAUAAGUCAGAAUGGAAUGGAAGUGAAGAGCAUCAGGUGGGUAAGUUAUCUUCUUCUAUAAUACAUACAUAAUGAUUCUUUAGUCCUAAUCUAGAGCGGCAGGGAGCUUAGAGACAAGCUACGUAGUUACCAAGUGCUGAGGCGUUCAGUUUAGCGAGGAAAAAGGGAUGCAGUGUGUGGUUAGGUUUACUCAUAUCUAUCUUUCUUGGUGGGGGCGCUAUCAAAUACUCUUUCCUUCGAGUUGAGUUCACGAAAACAGUACUUAUUCUGUGUCCUGCGGCUUUAUUCCAUAUUAGGAACUACGGAACGCGCUAGAUUCAAUUAGUUCUCUGUCUUCUCGUAAAGAAACAAGUAAAUAAACUCCUUCCCUUUGAUUUGGAAUUGAACCGCUCGUCGACAACACUGGCACCCAAGGAGACUCCACCUUAGUACACCGCUUGCAUUGACUUUCCGCUUGCUUCAUCUCUCGUUGACUUAACUCGCACCGCUACUGCACCCAAAACUAUUACUACAACUCGCUACCGCACCCCAACCAAAAAGUAUUACUACUUGCUUCUGUCGCCUGCAUCCUCACUGACACUUCACUUUAAUGCAUUGAUUGGACCACUACAAGGGGCUGAAUAAGGCCAGCAACUACUCAUUAAGUAAUUAAGGGAAAGCACUACUCGGCACAGAUAUAAUUCCUGAGCUGGGCGCAUUUCUUUAGUUGGGUACAGAAAGAUGGAUAUUCGAAUUAAUAGCAGUCAGGUUACUUACUUACAUAAGUUGUUGUGCACAUUCUUUGAUUUCGUCUUGUGCCCUAGAGAGAGAGAUAGUUUGAAAGUGAGAUUCUUUCUAUUGGUGCUAUUGGAGUUGCAGGGUGCGUUGAGCCAGCAGUAACCAGUGAAGGAAGCAAUGCUGUUUAGAGUAAGGGAAGUGAAUCAAUUGUAUACUUUGUCGUUCAAUUCCAUUCUAUAGUUUGCUUUCCAGAGUUAACCUGUGCCCUUAAGUAAUUGCCCGUGUUUUAGUGAGUGACUGAGUUAGUUGUUUCAUGAAAUACAGUAACUUGGCGCCUACUAGCUAUGUCUUUUAAGAAUCCUACUUGCUAUGUGUUUGUUUGUGAGUUCAAAGAGACAGAGCCAGGGGUUUAGGAUCAGAGAAGAGCCAGCCCCUCUUGCUACUCGGGAUGGCGCCCUCAACUCUGGUAUGGAAUUGAAGUUAAGAGCACAGAGGCAGCGAGGGAAUCAAAUUCAAGUUGUUUUUGUUCACAGAGGUAUGACAGCAGGGCCGCUCUUUCUCUAGCCUAAGCUUCCUAUGACUUUCAACGAGCAUCCCUACUUUCUAUGAGCCUCAUUCAGGUAUCAUUCAACGAGCAUCCCUACUUUCUAUCUUAACUACUGGAAUUCACAGGAGCAGUAGUACCGGAGUUACAGAGCAAGAGGGUAAAUCUUAUAGGCAGAAAUGACUUAUAAAGACAGUUUCUUAGCUUAAUGGGAAAUACUUCUAAAAACAUCUUGGCGAUGAGAAAUCAUGCUAUUUUAGUGUAUAGAAAUGAGUUACCUAACUGCAUCUUUAGUUGGCGAGGGGGGGAAGCCUUGAGACAGUAGUUUCAGAGUGACCUAAGGCUGAUGGGGGAAAGUCAGAUGUGAGAUCCGGAGUGUCAGUUUGCUAGUAAGGAGUAGCUUGGUGGACUGGAAGUAUUAGGAUUGAGUGCCCACUAGCAGAGUCUUAUUAGAGCUCGGGUCAUACAAGAAUGAAAGCAGAGUCAUCAUUGCAUAGGAAUCAAUGCGUGGUUUGCAGGGGUAUGAGAACCGACCUCGUCCAUUAGCUUGCCCGACCCUAGGGCUACCUAUUUACAACCCUAUGAAUGGAAACUAAGAAUGACAGAGGAGAGUUUCAGUUUGCAAGUAAACAUCCAAGUUUGCAAAUACAGAUGUGAGAUAAGGAGUCUAUAACGCCUCAACACCGACACAUAGAAACAAGGAAUGAAAACAGAAAGUAGGAAUUACAGAAUUGAAAGCGAGGAGAGGUUUAGUUGAAAGUACGAAUUCAGGUAUAAGAGAUGCUCUAGUCCAGAGGAUAGGUUUUACUAAUUUCUACUAAUUUCAUAGGCAGAGUCAAUUACUGGCUUUGAAGCUAGGUAAGAGAUCUUUGUUGGCAAGAAAUAAGUAAACUAGUGAGUGAAAUACAUUUCAUACAAGAACUGCGGAGUUGCUGUAAGUCCAGACUACUACUUGUUGGGGCAAGAACCACAUUUGAAUAACAGACCUCCACUCCAGGCAUCUAGAAAGCUGCCCUUGAGUCACAGAAUGAAACUAAGAACUAUAAGUAAGGUAGAGAAUAACUAUAUGUAAGGUAGAGAAUAACUAUAAGUAAGGCAGAGGCCAUUAUAGUAAGGCUCUAGUUGCAUUCCCUGUUCCUGUGCUAAAGUAGGGUUAGGGUGUUGUAGUCAAAGAAUGAAACCACUAUUGCAUCUAGUUUACUUACCACAAUUAGUACAUCUGAUACUAACCCACCGGAGGCUCACUAAUGAGUAGUUGAUUGGCGAGAUGAAUUAGGAGAAUUGCCUGUUCCAGGCGAGGGAAAGUGGAAAGUUUCGUUGAGAGUGUUGGUGCUCUAGCCCUAAGUCUAGUAAAGUUGUACUUAGAAGCAGUUAGAAAGCCAAGUUCGGGACGGGGUUGCCCUUAUAUCAAGUCCAGUUCAUAAGAAUCAAACUAAUAUUACCAAGAAUCAGAAUUUCACCCUUAUUAUAACCCGUAACAGAAUGAACAGAAUCAUUAGGGGUAGUGGUCUCGCUUUCGAUAAGAUCUGAUAACUUGACUUGGUAUAGCCGGUUUUCUUCUGUAGUUUUCUACCUUCCGUAGUUUCUUGUCUUUGAGUGGAAUUCUUCCUUUCAAGUUGAGAGCGCAGUUACCCUCUUAAUUGACUUUCACUAACUUAUACUUACCAGUUGCAUUCCGUAUUUGUUGCUCUAGUCGCUGGGUGUGAUAUUAGAGAUUCCAAAGCAGCUUCUUAUCUCGGGUGUUAGAGAUGAUAAAGCUUGUAUAUUUAAGGAUAUAGAAAGGCAAGUCUCUUUCCGUUCUUGAACCAGUAAAGAAGCUAGUUCAAAGGCUAAGGAUACCCCUUAUAGUAAAUGGCUAGUCUAGUCCGUUUACCAAACCCCGGGCAAAGUGAAAGUAUACUUAUCCUAGAAGGGACCUUCACAUAGACAUAGGUGGACGGGUGCAAGUACUGCUCUUGUAAGGAGUGAGUUUACUUCAAACUGUCGGAAUUGAGAAACUAAGAUUCCAAUAGUUGCCCUUAUUUUAAGUCGCAGAGGUUGCCAGCAGCUUAGCUUGUUUCAAGUUUCCAGUGGAGGUCAGUUAGAAAAGUGGAGUGGAAAGUAGAGUUAAGGGGGAAAGUCCUGUGUGCAAGUUCAAUUUAGAAUAUACCAACACAGUAGAAGUAUAGUAUAAGAAAACAUAGUCUAAUUUCAUAUAGGAGAAAGGAUGAAACAAAAGAAUAGAUUGAGUCAGCUACCCCAGAAAAAGGAAAGGAAUGGGAGCUGUGCCAAGCCUGAGUGAAAGCGUUAGUCCGGCCUUGGUUCAUUCUUGCAUUCAGUAAAGGAGAUAGUAUUAGUGAUUCGGGCCAAGUAACAAGAGUAGUAAAGAGGAAAGUAGUUUCAUUAUAAGUGUAAUACCAGCAAGCCCUAUCCAUUUGACUUAUUGAUUGAAUUCUGUGUUUCAUAUCCGUAUUUGUUUACAGAGCCAGAGAAGAGGAGAGAUUCUCCAUUAAGUACUGGCUCGGGUGCUUGUGUUAAGCAUAGAAUAAAGCUAUCUCCUUUUUAGGCUUGGCCCCUCCUAAAUGAUGGAUUAUCUUUAUAUAUGAUUCCACUCGGGAAACUCGGUCUUCUACUAAUUCUACUAGUCGUUGCUUGUCUAUCUGUUCCUUGGCUGAGUGUCUUGGCUGUUAGAGUGCAUUUGAAACCCAUAUCUGUAGGGUCGGUAACUACCCUUGUGCUAGUGCUCUCAAGUAGGAAAGGAAGAAUAGAAAUAGAAUCAUUAGCCAGAGGGGACGAACUGUUGCUGAGCUAUAAACAAAAGAAGAAAACCGGCUUCUGAACCAUGUGUGCAAGAUAAGAAAGUAUUGACUCGGCAUAGAAGCGGGAAGGAACUCAACUUCAAGUCGAGGUAAGUAAGCAGUUAGAGCAGACCUGUAGUUAACAUCCACUCAGUCAGGGAAUGUGCUAGAUGUCAAUGACAAUGAAGUAUUAUUGGUGCGGGUAUAAGUGGUGGAUCGAAUGCAAGGGAAGCUAUGAAAGCUAUCCGGCAAGGAAGCAAGCUUGAGUCGAGGUCGGGGUUAACACUUAUAAGAGUGCGGGUAGGGCUUUCCCCUUGUAAUAGAGUUUAGGUCGGGCAGGUACGAAAUACUUGUUAGUCAGGUUGACUUACUUGCUAGUUAGGGUGUGGGUAUGGCUUGGCUUGUGUCAUUCUGUAUUGGUAGUCAGAGGAGAGUCGACUUGCCUAGUGUCUUGGCUGUUGCCAUAGGUAUGGUUAUCGGAGUGAGUUUGUUAGUGUUAGUAGAGGCUUUCAGCACCUUGCUUCUUUUCAUUUCCAUUGGAAUGUUCUGCUUUUCUACAGUACAAAAGCCUUAUGAAUUAGUAUUGGAAAGCUCUUUCCUUUCCUUGCAUUCGGCAUGGUUUUGGGACUUAGGCGGAGCCGUACCUUUACCUUCUUGGGGUUUAGGCCGAUACUCAUGUCUAUCAAUAACAGCAACUGGGGCAAGUGAACUUUAGCUAUGAAUGGAAUCAUGGUGCAAAUGAACUUAUUAACUCAACUCCGAAAUACAUAGACAGCUUAUGUCCUAUGCCUUCUUUAACAGGUAGGGGACUAUAAUCAAUUCAUAAAAAGUCGUUAAGUCACCUUCUUGCUGAGUUUUUCCACCAAGCAGACCUGAGAUAGAAGUCCAACCUUAAACCUAAUUUCACUUCAAGUACUAAAAACAAGUAAGUGGGAUCCCGCCUAGGCAAUUCAAUAGAAAUACAUUAGGUGUUUUCCCUCAUUGACUAUUUUCUUAAAAGGAAAGACAAAAGGGGGUGACAAGACCAGCGCAGCACGCCCGACUGGAAUAUUGACUAUCCCGUAGAACAGAACUGACCUAGUCACUCGUUAAGGAGCUGGUAAUCAUGGAAUAUAGUAUAUGUAGGUUUAGGUCUUCCUAGAGCGAAGCCACAUGUGUUUUAUACGUUCUGAUCCGACAUUAAGAAUGAUUUACUUCACUUCAUCCGCGAGUAAGGAUAGCCCAUUACGAGGUUCCGUUUCAAGGGAACAGUCUCAAGCGCGAGUCAAUCAGUAUCUGGGUGCGAGUGCGGUUAAAAGCGGUUCCAUUAUCUUUUCCGUUCUGGUUUUGUAUCCGAUAUAAGCCGAAUGCAAGUAAGGGUAAGGCGAGAAAUCAAUAAGGGAGUUUCACCUGGAAAGAUAGAGCAGGGUAUAAAGCUUUCACCGCUAAGUCUCAAGAGAGGAUUGAGCUCGAGAAUCAGAAUCCGCUGUUACCCUGUUGAGUGAGACUUUGAUACAGUAAUUUCAUUAUGACUUUUUGCCGAGAAUAAUCCGUAGAAAGAUGAAGUUUCGAGUGGUGGCGAAAAGAAGCUAGUUGAGUAUAGUAUGGGAGAAGAAUCCUGAGAAGAAUGCAAGAUAAGUAGAACAAGCAACGGCUACUAGAAACUCAUAUUCUCACAUUAAACAAGUAACGAACGACUAAACUGUACCUGAAAGAAGCAACAGUGCACUCUCCUUAAAAUCAGCUAGCAAAGGAGCCGGAAUCAAAAAACUCAUUUAUGGUUUCGGGGCGCAAGUCAGCUACAAGCGGUUCUAAAUUAGUUGUCGACUCUAAAUCGGGGUCAGGAUCCGUGCCAAAGUAAGCAGGAAGUCGUUCUUGAUUGAGUAGAAAGAUAAGGAGCAGUGUAUCUACUCGCUUCUAUAUCUUGAAAGUAAGCUAACACAUUAUCCCUUCCACAAAGCCAGGAAAGUCAAAGAAUAGAAUAUAAGAUUGGCACCCAGCUUUCGAUACGGCUGCUACUACUUCACUGCCCUAACUCAGUUGCUUGUUUUGUUCUAAAGCCCUAACUCAGUUGCUUGUUUAGUUCUAGAAUAAGAUAAGUAUUUGGGGUGGGAGCUGGUCUACUGGUCUAUGUUAUUAGGCAUCAAUGCACUAUAAGAGCCGAUAGAUUGUUGAGUUUCUGGGGGAAUUUUCCAUUCCAUGAGUAGCGGUGCGAGUUCCACUAUCAGCAAGCUGGUUCGAUUCUUGGUGUUCUAGCUCAAAGGCUGUUGCGCAAAGUGAAUGAGUGCUAUCCCAUAGAAAUCGGGGAUUGAAUGCGAAGGCUCAAGUAAGAGGAACAAGCUAGUCUGAUUCAUAAGAAAGGGAAGCGGUAAGUCUAUUCGUUGCUUGUUUAGUGCUCCUGUCUGAGGGAAGUAUCAAGGAGCAGGCGCAAAGAGGUCAUUUGCAAGCGAUAAGGCAGUAGUUGACUCUAAGCUAACGGGAGUAAACUACACUUCCAGUCUUGUUUCGGGUACUUUUGUGCUUGUGUAGAUGGAAGCGCUUGUUAAGUCUAGUCGGUUCUAGUUUCAUCAGAUACAUAAGCAGUUUCAAGAUAGGAAGCCGAGCCAAGAGAAUCAACUGUUUCAUAAGCCUACUUAUAUGAAUCAGCAAGUGCAACGUCUCCAACAGAGGUGAGUGGCUCUAAGUCUAAGUAAGGAGUAAGCUUAGCAGUUGAGUAUCAAGGUUCAGUUCCAGUGUCAUCUACGAUUUAAUCAGAGGCGGAAGGGAAGGAAUCCUUUUUCGAAUGCCCAAAUAGCUGUGUUGGUUACGAGCCGAGCAAGGGUCUUGCGGAGAUAGGUCAUUGGCCAAAGUCUACAUCAGCAAGAGAAGAGAGCCUAAUUCAGCAAGUCCUAAUUUCACUCUACAGGCAGAGAGAAGCUGCCACAUUAUUCUCAGGUUUACGCGUCUAAUAUAAUACUAAGAAAUCAAUUAGCUAGUCUAAGAAUUCCACCUCUUUCUCGUCAACCCAGGUAGGGCAUCCAGGACAUACCAGGUUCUACCAGGGCCCAAUCAUAGUAUAAAGAGGAGUUUUCUUGCGGAACGCACUAAUAAUCAAUCCAUCAAAGCCGCAGUAAAGUCAAUAAUGAAAAGGAAUGAAUCAAUUGACUGCUUAUUUACAGCUAAAGCCCUAAUCCUAAGUCCCGAGAGGAGCGAAGAUGCCAUGGUGAAUUCUCAUUCUGCUGCUGACUUAGCGGUUACUACUGACUGACUUGAUACUGCUGAUUAUCCUUAUUAUGCUUUAACACCAUCUUUAGAGUUCUUUCCUUCCUCAGUAGUUGCUCGGCAGUGCCGCUAGUCAAUUGAAAGUGUGUCUCUCGACCCCGAGUUUAGUCUAUCUAUUUCGUAUGAGAGGAAAUGAAAAAGGGGGAGAACUAACAGAAGCUUACUUGUUUUCGUACUUCCCCCCUACCCUAGAGAAGAAUCAAAGGCAGAAGAUGAAUCUGCGUCAGCGCCAGUGAAUUCUCCGAGAUCAGUAGAAGAAACAGAAUCCGGGGCCAUAUCCGAUGCUCUAUCCGGAGUAGGAGAUCCGUUGGCAAGAUACUUAACUGCUUAUUCUCUUUGCAACUUGCCUGGAACUUAACCUUUCCACUUCUACUCUAUUGUACCCAAUUGUUAAUCUUUAUGCACUAUAUCCUUUAUUCUUAUACCCUAUUUAGUAGUCUUCUACUUAUACUUAUUCUACUUACUUGUCUAAUUCAAUUAUGCCCUAUUCUUUCUUAGUAGAGGUCUCUAUAAUAAGUUGUUGCGGUAAACCCUUGACUACUUUAGCCAACACCGAGAUAUUGAACUGCUUCAGAUGACACUAAAGUAAGCUCUUAUUCUUGUGCCGAGUCAAAGUAGUUGCGAGUAGCUUGGACCCUAACAUAUACAGAUUUCAAAUAAUGCAUUUACAUUAGAUAGAAGUGGAUAACAAAAGAAAUAGGUACCGAGUCAUGUGUUUGGGCACCCGUUUCCCUUCCUAGGCAAUGUAGCUAAUGUCACUAAUUUCAUAGCCAGAGGAGAGGCUCCAUGAAUUAAGGGCACCAACCCUAGCUUGUAUUGAAUUCAACUCGAAACUCCUCACUCAGGUAUUAUACGUCACUCUAAACUCUUGCUUGUUGGGCUCUUCCGGAGGUAAAGAAGAAUCCCGCUCUUUCGAUGGUCGGAUACUAGGUGUACUCGCCUCUGAAGGGAGAUUGUACUCGUCCCUGUCCGCUUUGAAUGUUGGUUUGGAGUGGAGGUACUCUCAAUCCCUAUCAGUGGUUAGCAGUCCUCGUGAACCCCAGAUGGAAUGUAUUCUGGGGAAGUAGUAGGAAAACCAGAGUUCUUAGAGCGUACCUGGCGGAAUGGUUGGAUGCAGGUAUGGGCGCUCUUGUCUCACGUUCGGAUAGUUUCCGAUAUGUCCAACUCCCUCCUGUCCAUGCUCUAACUUCGUUUAGUGCUUUGUUCUCCCUUUAGGGUCAAUGUCGAUCCUGAGAUCCAACGCUUUGGCCUAAUGUGGUAGGGCACGCACGACAGCUUUCUCUAGCGACGAGUCGAGAAGAAGGUUCGAAGAACGCAUAAGAGUGAUAACCAACACCAACCCACCCUUCUGUAUAACCUAUUAACAUUUGUGAAGCGGCUGGAUGCAUAAGGGAAGUCAACCCGAGUGAACCGACCUUCGGGACUUAUUCGAACGAUCCGGAUGUCUUCCUCUGGAUUGGAAAUAGACUCCUGUAAGUAGACCCCCUAUACUCAAGCUUGCACUGAUACCACACAGCUUCAGAAGCCAGUCCUUUUUUUGGUAUUCAUGGCGGCAGGAGCGGUUCCGUAAGUAAAGGAAUGCGCUCGCUAUUAUGUAUUAUGGCCCUUAGAUCUAUCCCUAUUCUUCUCCAGACACUCACUCCUUUGCGGCGGUAAGCUUGUCUCUGUUACUACUGAGUUAGGAGUUAGAAUACCAAUACCAGAGUCCGGAGUAACUGAGCAAGAGGCUAAAGAUGUUAGGAAGAAAUGCAUUUAUUGAACAGGGAAGACAAAGCGGAUGAGAUAUAUAACUCCCGAGCAAAAUGAAACCACUUAAAGACCUUUUUUGAGGCAGGGAAUGAGGCCACGGAGCAGAGGAGAACAACCAAACUACAUGAGAACAGAACUCUUCUCUUAUCAAUAGGAAUAUCAUCCUUUUUGAGCAUCUAUUACUUCAUCAUGCAGAAUAGGAACGAUUUCAAUGAUACCAAUAGUACGCAGAGUCACUUUUUUCUUUCGCACUGCUUAUAUACUAAACAUGCUUCUUGGAUUUGUCAGUUCAUCAUUGAAUUGUUGUGGAAAGAGCUCCGUUAGCUAAAGAACAAGGCUUCUUAUCAAAGAAACUGAGAUUCGGCUCCUGCUGAGAAUCUUUUUGAUGCUGGUUAUCUGCAUACUGAGUAUCAUCCUCAUCCUAAACAACUGAACUUUGAUGCUUGGACCACUUAGCGCUGAAGAAGCACUGCAUUAUAGUUAAGGCUCUACAGGACGAGAUCCACUUGCUUUUGCUACCCUGACUCGAGACUGUUCCGCUUAACUACUGAGUGGGCAUUCGAAAAGGGAUUCGGCUUCCACUUCUAUAUACUUGGACACUGAAUCACUUACAGCAACACCUGCUUUGCUUACCGCAUCGAACUGACUUAAGUGACUGAUUGACUUAGUGCUGAAGGAAGAACUGAAAUGAGAGUACAACCAACUCGGGGGGAGAGCUAAGGAAGGUAAUAAUCUCGGUAAAGGCAAUCGAGUAUUAAUAAGUUCGAAAGGUCUUGUCUGUGUUAAUAUUAGGUCACGCCAAAAGAAAGAGAACGAGCGUAAGGAGCAAGCCAAGUCAAAAGAAGAGAAAUAAGUAGUAAGCCAGUGUUUUACCUUAUGACAGAAGAGGUCAACUAAGAAUCUUAUGUAGAGUAAGGAGUAAGAACUCAGUAAGCGCAAUAAACAAGCAACAGAGAAAGAAAGAGUGAUAGGUGAAGCAACAGAAUCAAACAAGCUACGGGUAGAUAGUGAUAGUUAAGUACUAUACAUACAUAUAGGGUUAGGGGCUCGGCUCCCUCUAGCUUAAUGAAGGAGAGUCAAGGAGUGAGUUUCACAGGGGUGCCUCUAUGAUAGAUAUGAGUUUAGUUUGGAAGCAAUGCAGUAAGAACUCGCGUAAGCCGAACACCAAAGAAGAGAGUUCGAGCAAACAAGUAUUUUAGUAAAGGAGAUCAGUAAGUCUAAACUAUUGUAUAGUAAAAGAGAACAGCUCGUUCAUUCGAGUAGGCUGGCAGUAGUUCCAUCAAAGUAUCUAGUAGCCGGAGUAGAUGUGUUGUGUUGUAUCAAGGACCUACUUACUUAAUACGCAAAGCCAAGAGAACCUAAAGAAACCCGGAACUUAUAGACUAGAAUUGCUCGCCCGCUAAGAAAGCCUUCACCCCUUUGUCCUUCGAAACUCACUUUAGCUAUAGUAUUUUGCACUGUUACUUGUUAUGUUACGUAACUCCGUAAGCUUAAGUAGCUCGGAACUCACGUAAGCCGAACACAGGACUCAAAAGAAGUUGAAGCGCAGCCUAGCAACUAGCAACUAAGCUUGGCGGGCAAACUUAAGCUGUUCCUAGGCAAUUCCAAUCUGAGUUUCUUGUUGAAGUUGCAAGCUAAGCUGUCGGGUCAGUCAGAAAGGGGAGUUUUCCAGUAUGCUGGAGAAUAGCCAGUUCCUGUUACAGUUCGAGGUCAAGUGGAAUCAGUAGUAGUUGCCAUAGGUAUAAGAUAUCAGAGUUUAGGUAUGGGAGAGUCUCUAGUAUAACCUAUGUUUGUAGUUAAAGGGGCAGGCUGGCUUCAUUCAGUUACUAGGGUAGGCUUGUGGAAUUCUGUAUUUGUAAACUCCCUUACCUGUCAACUGGACCACUACUUUUAAGGGGCAAGAACUGGUAGAGAUAGGUUUGGUGCGAGGCAGAAGCACUAACUAAGUUUCAUUAAAAGAGCCAGAGUUCAAAGAGACAAGGUCGAGUCGAGUUUCAAGGUUCAAAGAGCCUGAGCCAGAGGUAUAGAAGAACUUGUUACUAAUGUGACUCAUUUAUUUGACUCAUUUCGGUCAUAUCGGAUGGAAGUCAACUCGUAUCUACUCUUUCUUUGGGGGCGAGGGUUGGAACUCGUAUCUACUUUAUUAUAGGAGAACAUUUAGAAGUAGUUACUGGGGCCCGGUCUUAAACUAAUACUACGGGAGUGUUCUUAUACUCUGGUAAGGGUGAGUAUACGCUUGGCACUGGAAUACCCAGUGGAAUCACUAGUUCAUGUUCUAAAGUAAGGGUUAAAGGCUGUUCUUAAAUAGAAGUAAAGUCUAGGUAGAGCUAGUUGCAUUAUUAGUCUUCUACUUACUAGUGGAAUUCUCUGUUAGUGCUGAGGAAGUCUUUAUUACUUGCCCGUAUAUUAAACUACACUUUAGCAUUCCGUACUUCCUGCUUUUUGAGUUAUGAGCAAGUCAAGCCUUUCUUCUUAGCCUCCGCCUCUGGUUCCUGCACUGAUCUGGUUGACUUACUUGGUAGGGUAGUUGACUCACUAGUUUCAUGAAGUUACUAGGCUAGGAAGCCCACCUAUUCCCCGUACUGAUUCUCUGCAUCUAGUCAAAGUUUCAUUAGAGUAAGCACACCGAUAGUAGUGGAGUGGUUCAAUCUAUGAGAGAGCUUCUUGUGUUGAUGCUGUAGUAGUUCCUUGUCGAGAGAGGUGAAGAUUGGGUUGAUACCUGUAGGAGCUCCCUUUCGUAGAGAAUGACCGACAGCUUUCCCUUACCCGAGUUGUAGUAGGCUUUCAAAGUAGUAGAAUAGUACAAGUCGUCACCGAUGUAGCUCAAAGUCGUGGCGGUGCGAGUAUGGUUUACAGGAACAGUAUGUAUAAUAAUAAGAGUCUAAAGUAAGCGGGAAAGAAAGAAGGGUCAAAAGGGAAUCAGAGAGUACUGGUCUUGUUGAAGCUAAUGCAGUCAAAGUUUCAUCGUUAAUAAGAAGAGAAUCAGCUGUAUAAAGUAGAGUUUAGGAGUGCGCUAGUUAAUAUGAGAUCCGUUUUGCAUCAGGCAUCAGUAGUAAUAAGUGAGGAAGCAAGGGAAUCAAGUAGAGCCAGAGUGAAAAGAGUAAGCCCUCAGUCUGUUACUAGGUGCUGUAGGAGUGAGCUCAAGAGGAGAAGUAAGUAAACUAGUGAAACCCUGACUUAUUAAGGCUGCUUGCCUACUUGCUAUGUGUUCGAGAGCCAAAUGCAGGUAUCAAACGUAAGAUCUCAAGUCUUGUGUAGGUGUGGGUAAGAUAGGUAGGUAGACAGGUUGGCAAGGAAUAAGAUACGAUGUAGCGCAUUCCCGGACUUACCUGUGCAAUUCUUUAGUGAAAUACCGGUCAACUCUCUUAUUAAAGGCAGUAGUGCUAGGGAAGUCAAGAAAGGGGAGUUCUUGUGCUCGUUGCUUGGCUCUUUGAUUACUUAGUUUGAUGCUCGGUCCUCGCGCUAGGGGCUGAACCACAAUUCUGGUUGCCUCCUAUCAGAUAACAUCCUUUUACUACUACUUAUUUUCAUUCCAAUGUUCCAGCGUUAGUAUGCCAAUCCUUUCUUCUAUCCCAUCUAUCUUAUGAUGAUAUCCAUUACUUCAAUGCCGAGUUUGUCUACUCAACUCCUGUCUUAGAGUCUUGCUUUCAACCCUAAGCUUCUGCCUUCAAUGCCGGAGCUCCAGAACGAAACCACUAGAUAUUAGCCUAUCGUCUUUCCCUUAUUUAUAAUUCUGACUAUCCUGUCUCUCGGUCUUACUCCAAGAUGCACCUAAUCGGAUUGUUUAUUGACAUAGUAAGUCUGGCACUCCCUUUAACUCUCUAACUGCUGGACAUAAGCCUUCCUUUUCUGCUUUUCAUUCUUAUGCUUGAGUAUAGUAUUCUUUAACUGGGGCCUACUUGCUAUCAAACUUGUCUUUCCUGCUCCACCUCACUUGCUUUCUUUAACUACUGCCUGGCAUCCUUACUAGCCAUACUUUUGACUCUUUAGCUACCGCUUUGGAGCCUUACUUGCUUCUUUCAUUCUUGGGAUUAGUCCUUUGUAUUCUGACUUGAGAGUUGUUGCCUUACUACUGAUUUCCAUUCUUCAAUUAGCUAUUCCUUAGCCGAGUUGGAUUACUUGUCUCUGUUUUCAAUCUUAUAGGUAGUAGCCGCAUUCUUUUAUUCCCAGUUCCAUUACACUGGGGAGGCCAAUAGCAUCAGUCCAAUUCUACGAAGACAUAAGCAGUAACAACUAAUACUAAACGGGAAGUAGCUAAAGUGUUUCCUUAAUUUAAUGUAAACCUCACUGACUUUAUUUAACCCCCUGACUUAAGUCUGUAUUUAAACCUGCUAUUUCACCUACUUAUAUUAGAAUUGACUAGUAGAGCGUGUGACUAGACACCGGUGUAAACAGCCCAAGUCGACUCCUUUAGCGUAACUCUUUUCCCUCCUUACUGAAAUUAUGUAUCUCUGGGGUUAGCCCUCUACUGCUUAGUUGAGUUCUUUAGCUACUGCGCUUGGAUCGGAUCUUAGUUGAAUUACUUUCCUUAUAUACUUAUUUCUUUGUGUUACUUCUACUUUUGAGUUUCAAUCCUCUACUCUACUACUAUUUACUACUAUUGAGUUCAAUUCGAUUCUCUACUCUGAUCGACCAGGUAACAACCUUUAUUGGCCUUGUACUACUGAUGGACAUUCUGGAUUUGGAUUCUUCUUUUUCUAUGGGUACUUUUCUUUCCAUUGGUUAAUGGGGUGUUUCAUUACUUAUAGCGUAGCGAUUAGUACUAAUGCAAUGCAAUUCUGCUAGUUAGUGGUAAAAACCUUACUUCUUUGUUUCAGUUUCAUACUGGGUGCUGGGCGCGCUACAUCUCUCGUAUCUAUAUCCUCACUUUUGCCCCCGGAUCCGAUACCCCUUCUUCGACUUACUCGUUUCAUCCUUUGUGUUUUUUCCUACUUUGAUUCUUCUCCCUGAUGUAAACUACUCUGUCCUAAUUGAUAUAUCAGUGAGUUGAGUUGGCAAUCCUAUACUCUAGACUCCAAUCCUGAGUUCCCUUUUGCUAUUAGUUGCAUGCCAAUCGAAUCUUUGUGCCCGGAGUUCUGGGAAAUAAAUUAGUAUUGGAUGGGCUGUAGAAAAAGAAUGAACUAAAGCGUGGGCAAGGGCCAGGCAUAAUAAUUGCUAUAUAUAAUUAAGUAAUCAAUAAGAUCGGUCUGCAAGUCAGAUAGAGUUAGUGCGGGUCGGGAGUUUCAGAAGUCAGUAAGAAUGCAUUUAUGAAUUAGUGUUCCUGCCUUAGCUGUUACUUGGUGGACUCGGAGUUAAGACCACAAGAGUUAUAUAGUAUAGUAGUUAUCAGAGAAGAAGACCGGUUAGUCUCAUAUGAAGAAUGAACCUCUUCAAAAAGAAGAGAAUAAAGUACUGGUUUUGAGGCGAGGUAGGCCAGUAGGAUCGAGUUAGUUCGGGUGAGUUUCAUUCUGAGUUGAAUCCCUAGUUGACUGUAGUACUGCUCCUGUUCUUGUUAGAGUAUAAUCUAGGUAGUAGUUGCCGGUGCUUGUUGGUGACUCUAAAUCUGUUGUUGAAGCCUAUAUACAGUAGUCGCCUGCCCCUGGUAUGGUAGUCCUGUUCUGAUUCUUGGUUAAAGUAUCAAAAGUAGUGGCUUCAUUCCUAGAGUUACUAGUGGAAAGGUGAAGUUUGGACUGGUUUCAUUCUGAGUUUAGUGUUCGGAAGAUCUUUCUUUGUCCUGUGCCCUUAAUUCAUGCUCCUCUUGCUCAUCUACCUUUUCAUAACUCUUGUUUGAUAGUAUAUGCCCUAGUUUUGGAAGAGCAGCCCUUUAGCUUACUAUGUUCCUUGGCCCCUUUCAACUCAUUUGGAAAACAAUCCAAUCAAAUAAAUGAGAAAAACGGAGUAGUUAACUUCCUACCGACCGGAAUACCUAUGGGUGUCAAUUCCAAUAAUGAAUAUAUAAGAAUAAAUAGUAUAAGGCUAUGAAGGUAGAAAAGAAAUGGAGUUAUAUGAGCCAGAGGACAGGUCGGCAAGCUAGUCCAGAGGAGCUGCUGAAUCCCUUGUUUAGUCUGAAGUUGACAAGUAUGGGUAGUAGUCCUGUUUCAUCUCAAGUAGGAGUCCUGUUCGAGUGGAAUACCGAGUCUUGUCUUCAAGUCAGGUUUCGGGUGCUAAAACAAAAGAAAGGAGGUCGGGUCAGGGUUAACACUCAUAAGGGGUCGGGUCGGAAGAAACAGACUCAAUUAGGACUCCGUCCGGGCCAAGCUUUGUAGUUAGUUGGCGCCUAGUUGCUUGGUCACUUAAGUAGUUUUAUGGGAAAUGCCCUUUGAAAUAGACUUAUCGGCUGUAGAAGUUCAUUGACGCCUAGAAUCUUGACCCUAUUGCUCCUAUAUCUCAUUGGCAGCCGUUGCUGUGGAAUGGAAUUAGUGGACUAUACUAUAUACUCUUGGGGUGCGAGUGGAGUCGUUGUAUGACUUAGAAGCUAGAGAAUGAGAAGAGUAUGAUGAGGAAGGUAUAAAACAGAGGAUAAGAACUCCGGUAGAAAGGUAGAGAAUAGAGUUGACUUUACUAGGAUAAGAAUUAAGCAAGUCAGAAUGCAACUAAGUAGUUUAAGAGUGAAACAGUGCCCCUAUAUACGUAGACUCAGAAUUGAACUAACUCCUUAUAAAGAGUGGAGCUAGUAAGGGUCUGGUCAGAAAGGGGAGCGGGAAGUUACGGCUUUGAAGUAGUUGAAAGUCGAGGUCGGGAAAUGAUUAAGUGUGGCAAAUGUAAGAAUAGAGCUCAGUAGUCAAAGAAUUCAUAUAGUAGUUGUAGUGUAGUCCCGGAGUGGAAAUAGAAAUAGAUGCAUUCUUAGUUGACUCGGCGCUCGAUAAGAAAUGGCGCUAGUAAGGGAGUAGUUGACUCUUAGCACUAGAAUCAGUGGAUGAAUUUAUGAUAGGAAUUGAUAUCUCUUUCGGUAUCGUCUAAUGGCCUUUUGAAGCGCUAAGUCCUCGCCUUCUUCAGCGUAUCAAAAGAAAGUAGUCGAUCUAGUAGCUCUGCAUCGGUGGUUCAGUCUAAAGGAAGGGCUAAGCAUAUUCCUGAAGUUUGAGGGAAGGUAAGUCAGAAGUUGCUGGUCUAUUUCCGAGGGGAAAAGGGCGGUAAGCGAAGGAAGCGGGAUCAUCAGCUGUUCGUCUCGAAGAGGUAUCCAAAGUGUCUAGUUUCCAGAUCUUCCGCGGGUAAUAUCACUUUGUUCUAUACUAUAAGGUGUAGCGGGUAAGCAAGUUUCUUUUGUAGCUCCCGAACAAUACAGGUCAAGCUAAGCUGUCAAUCCGUGUUGCGGUAAGGAAAUAAUAGGCUUGUGUUUCAGGUAAUAAAGGAGAAUGUCUUUUUUUGGUAUAGAGGUAAUUAAGGAAGCAGUAAGCAGUCAGCGAAAGAGCAGCAAAGAGUGGGAAGGAUAAGCGGGAAGCCCACGGAACUCCACUCUACAGGCGAAACCUGCAACAUCAUAAAUAGCAGCAUGUCGGUUGCUCUUUCUUCUCAUCCAAUUCCAUUGAAAAGGAAAGCCUUAGCGGCCUCGCCAGAAACAAAGGAAAGCCUGGGGCCACAGAACUCAUUAGCGGGAGCCGAGUGAAAGCCAUUCCUAAUAUGACAUUCAAUCAAAUAUGAAAAGAACUAACAUUACCAUCUUCUUCUCGUAACUGCUUCUUUAUCGUCGACUACCUCUCAAGUACUGUACUUACUUAGAUAGGAGGGCAUUCCAAGACAAAGCAAUCUGACAACUCACUUUUGAAUCUCCAAUUCCCUUAGUCGUGGCGUUACCGCUUUGCUUUGAUUUGCGAAUCCUUUGGUUUCAUCCUUCCUUUGAAGUCCAAUAAAUGAGAAAAAAGGUACCGGCGCCGUUAGUGAGUUCUUCUUCCGCUCCCUCUCAGCCCGAAGCUUUAAUGAAAAGUUCUAUGCUGCUAGCCCGACCCAGCUUUGCUCCUGAAACUACUUGCGGAAUUUCCCUCUACCUUCUGCCCGGUUGGAAAAGAAAUUGGAUGCGUAGGCGUAGAACACAUCAACAAUUCUAACCCUAGAAAAAGGGGCCUGCCUCAGUGAUAAGAAGAAAGAGCUUUGCUUUGAUAUGAGGCAACUAUGAGACUUAUUUCCUAUUAUCUUAAAGCUAACAGCAGCUUUGUUUCGCCCUCGGGUGACAUCUCCUAUGCUCUCCACUUUAUCCUAGACGAUCUCGUGUAAUAAUCGGGAUUUGAAAAGAUAAUGCUAGCUAGAGUUGAAUACUAGGCAGCAGGAAGUUAUUCAGCAGGACAUGGAUAAGAAAGGGAAGAAAAGCGAGUAGUGGGAAAGCGCUAAGGUGCUCAAGAGAAGAAAGAGAGAGGGCGCUAAUGGUAAGCUAGCGGUAUAGUUUGAGUAUAAUCAUAGAGAGUCGUCGGUGUAAGUAGAAUGGAAGAGAGCUCUUAAUACGCCAAGCCAAGAGAACCAGAACCAAAUUCGAGUUUCUCUCGCUCAAAGGUGCCUGAACUAGCAUUAUGACAAUUCCAGUUUUCGGGGGAUCAGAGGAGGCUAAAGCAUCCGCAGGAGAAGAAAAAGUAUCAGCAAAUGAAAGCAGAGUUAGCAUCAACAGAGUUAGCAUCAGCAUCAGCAGCAUCAGCUUAAAUAAGUGUUAGCGCAACCGACUUAUAGAAUGGAAAUUUGCUAUCUGAAGAAACGAGUAUUGUUCUUGUGCGAGUUAAGUCAAGGUAUCCAGCAAGCGGUUUAGCACUUUAGAGGUCAGGUGCUAAUGUUGUCGGUUCCUAAACUAUUGUUUUGGGUGCUAGCAUAAGAGAAUCGAUGUUUGCCCAUACUAGUUCUGUUGCUUGUUGGUUCGGUGCUUGUGUGAGGCUAUGAAGGAAUUGAAAGUAAGUGACUUGGCUGAUAGCAAAUAGAGAAAGUGGUCGACUUUGAUAGCAAAUAGUAGAGGCUCUUAUAGUAAGUUAGUGACUUGACUACUGGCAGUAUAAUUAAUGGAGUUGGCAUCAAAGGCUUAUUUGCUAGUUCCUUCUCCUGUUAAAGAGAGGAAGCCGGGUGCUCAAUUGUAAGAAUGAGACUAUCCACUCAGAGGCAAGCGUAUACUAGAUGCACUGAUUCCCGAAGUCUGUUACUAGGCUCCAGGAAGGAAGUUAGUAGUUAGGAAGUAAGUUACUAGUUAGGAAGUCAGGGAAAGUUAGGAUUGGAGUGGAGUGGUAAAGAAAUCCAGUUUAGUUGGAGUUCA